GUUCCUGUAGAGCAGUGGAUAACGCGUUGGACUUCUAAUCCAAAGGUCCCAGGUUCGAAUCCCGGCAGGGAUG
rnacentral:tRNA from 13 species